UAAGGAAUAUUGGUCAAUGGACGCAAGUCUGAACCAGCCAUGCCGCGUGGAGGAUGAAGGUCCUCUGGAUUGUAAACUUCUUUUAUCUGGGAUGAAACACUUCUUUUCUAAGAGGUCUGACGGUACCCUAGGAAUAAGCACCGGCUAACUCCGUGCCAGCAGCCGCGGUAAUACGGAGGGUGCAAGCGUUAUCCGGAUUUACUGGGUUUAAAGGGAGCGUAGGUGGGUCUGUAAGUCAGUGGUGAAAUCUCCGAGCUUAACUCGGAAACUGCCAUUGAUACUAUAGGUCUUGAAUAUUCUGGAGGUAAGCGGAAUAUGUCAUGUAGCGGUGAAAUGCUUAGAUAUGACAUAGAACACCGAUUGCGAAGGCAGCUUGCUACAGGAUUAUUGACACUGAGGCUCGAAAGCGGGGGGAUCAAACA
rnacentral:rRNA from 1 species